rnacentral:lncRNA from 1 species
AUCCUACGCUGCCAUAUUGUGGUAAUAAUAAUGUUCGUGACAAAGAAAACUAAGGACUUUGUUAGUGAUCGAUAUUCCAAACCUAUAUUAAUUAAGGCAUGUGAGUACAUAAUUUAGCCAGUACCUGGCAUGCAAUCAUGAUCCAGCAUGGAGUUUUUUAUUGUUGUUCCCCUUCCUUAGGACUAACUCGGGAAUCUAACAUAAAGAAAAGGCACC